rnacentral:misc_RNA from 1 species
GAAGUGUUUCUUUUUCGCUGGCAGACACACACGCGAGCACAGACCUUUGCUCCCGUACGCACGUGCAGCACCCUCAUAACGAAAGAAGGAACAGCAAAUGAAGGCACAGCUCAUGCUUGUCAUUGUGGCAGCAGGAGCGGUGCUGUCGUGCUGUCUUUCUGGCCUCGUCGCCGCCUCCAGCGACGCAAGCAGUAGCAUCAGCAUCCCUGCUGCCGCGCGGCCCUUCUCCGCCCUCGCGGCCCGGGCACGUCACACCGCUGAGCACGCGCUAGCCCCUAUCGCGGCCAAAGUGCUUCCCUGCGUCCCACCUCCAGUGCUCGAGCUGGUGCCGAUUUUCGCUCAUGGCGCAGCGUCGCUCGUUAUGGUCGGCCGUGGUGUGCGCACGCCGCCACCGGCAGUCAGCGGCGCGAAGGGCGACGAGGUGCUGCAGCACACGACGGCGAAGUUCGUCUACGCCGCUGGCGCUAUCGUCGCGGAGCUCGCGCUACUCAAGCUGGUCUACCGUGAGCCUUAUCGCAACCAGCGCAAAAACCGUGUCAACAGCUUCUUCGCCACAGCGGCGGGCUUCUUCCUCCUCGUGCUGCUCACCGCUCUUCCGAAUGACCUGAUGGACACGAGUCUCAUGUGCGUCUUCUACUUUAAGCUGUCGAGCCAGGUUUACAUGCCGGCGGUAGUCUGCGGGCAACUGCUGAGCGUCUAUCUGGCAGCCCUCGUGCCGGCGCUGCCACCUCUCUCGGCCGCUUACACAGCUUUUCUGGCUUACUGGGCUGACAGCUUCACGGACGGUCUCUCUGCCACGCAGGUUCGAGAAGCAUGGACAGAGCUCAUCUUGGCCCUAGUGGUAAUGGGUGCCUUUGCGUUCUCCGUGUCCGCCCGCCGCGGCGCUGGUGCUGCGCUGCCGUUGUCGCCACAGGAGCCGGAGAGUGAUGGCGACGACUACUACGCUGAAUAGGGGAACAGAGAGUUGGAGAGAUGUAGCACACGCCCUCGCAUGGGUUGCGCGCACGCUCACAGAAAUGGGUGGGUAUGUCUUCGCGUAUGCGCAUUACCACAAACCACCGCGGCGUCUGUGUCUCUGUGAGUUGGAGAGCGCGGCUGCGUGUGGGUGCAUUCGUGGGAAAUGCACUUUUCCGCUACUUUCGGCCCACAACCCGCAAGCCCCGCGAGGUGCGCGCUUCAGUAGCAAAUCGUAUCCUUUUCUGUUCCGUGGCGCUGUCCUCCGUCUGUGGGUGAG